GUGUGUGUGUGUGUGUAAGCUACAUUUUUUUAAUAUAAAAGAGCCGUGUAUCUGAAUGCUCUCAGAUCUUCUCUGAUCAUCUACACAAGGUAAAGCCAUGAAGAUCCUGAACGCUGUGUCGAUCACUGGACUCCUGCUCUCUCUGACUGGUUUAAUGGCAUAUAAUUUGAGUCAGGAGAAGUCCAAGUCAGUGAAACUGGGUGACAAGGUGUCGAUACUCUGCACUGCAGAAGAUGAUGAUUAUUUCAUUUCAUGGUACCAACAAAAAACCGGUGCUGCUCCUCAGUUUCUGCUUCGUAAUGACAUAAGAGCAAGUGAUUUACCAGCCAGGUUCACUUACACUGACUCAGGCAAUCAGGAUUAUCUGACCAUUGAUGGAGUGAGAGCUGAAGAUGAAGCUGUUUACUACUGUGCUUGUAUUGACAGUACAGGAGGCACAGUGCUUCAGUCCAACAGAGCCGUCGUACAAAAACCUCCUGCAUGACCUCCUCUGAAGAGUGAGGCCAGAAAUCUCCAUGAAUGUGAAAGGUGGUGAAGUGUUCAGAUUACAGCGCUGAGGUUUUUGUGCUGAGCUCAAACACCGUGAGUCUCUGUGUUUGCUCAAGGCACCAACCUUGUGAUAUCAGCUCGUCCGUCGUCUCCUCCGUCCCUGCUCCUGCUGGCUCCUGCUGCUCCUCUGCUCUCUGAGGGAGAUGUCAGUGUGCUGUGUGUGGCUCAGGGCUUUUACCCUGACGGUGUCACCGUGUCCUGGUCUGAGGACAGCAGCGGUGUGACGGGGGACGAGGUGCAGACGGCUCCGUAUCAGCGUCAGGCCGAUGGCACCUUCUCCCAGACCAGUGUCCUGAAGCUCAGUAAGCAGCGCUGGAGCUCCGGGAGAACCUACACGUGCAGCCUGAGUCACCCGGCGCUUUCCACACCGCUGAGCCAGAGCACCAGCCUCAACCAGUGUGUGUAGACCGAUCACACACAGCUGUGUUACAUACAGAGAGAAAUAUAUAUAAUGCAUCUCAGUGAACACAACUUGUCUUUAAUAAUGAGUGUGUUGUCCAUUUAAACAAGUUCUUCUGUUAUUGUGAAAAGAGUUUUGUGGAGCUCUUCUUUGUUGCUUACUCUAGUAAAUAAAGCAUUUAAAUGUUUCAAAUGAAA